UAGUGCAACAGCUCUUUUAGAAUUUGUCUAGCAGGUUUUCCAGUCCUCACUGGAGGAUCCCC
rnacentral:snRNA from 1 species